GCUAGCUACAGGCUUAACACAUGCAAGUCGAGGGGCAGCAUGGUCUUAGCUUGCUAAGGCCGAUGGCGACCGGCGCACGGGUGAGUAACACGUAUCCAACCUGCCGUCUACUCUUGGACAGCCUUCUGAAAGGAAGAUUAAUACAAGAUGGCAUCAUGAGUCCGCAUGUUCACAUGAUUAAAGGUAUUCCGGUAGACGAUGGGGAUGCGUUCCAUUAGAUAGUAGGCGGGGUAACGGCCCACCUAGUCUUCGAUGGAUAGGGGUUCUGAGAGGAAGGUCCCCCACAUUGGAACUGAGACACGGUCCAAACUCCUACGGGAGGCAGCAGUGAGGAAUAUUGGUCAAUGGGCGAGAGCCUGAACCAGCCAAGUAGCGUGAAGGAUGACUGCCCUAUGGGUUGUAAACUUCUUUUAUAAAGGAAUAAAGUCGGGUAUGGAUACCCGUUUGCAUGUACUUUAUGAAUAAGGAUCGGCUAACUCCGUGCCAGCAGCCGCGGUAAUACGGAGGAUCCGAGCGUUAUCCGGAUUUAUUGGGUUUAAAGGGAGCGUAGAUGGAUGUUUAAGUCGGUUGUGAAAGUUUGCGGCUCAACCGUAAAAUUGCAGUUGAUACUGGAUAUCUUGAGUGCAGUUGAGGCAGGCGGAAUUCGUGGUGUAGCGGUGAAAUGCUUAGAUAUCACGAAGAACUCCGAUUGCGAAGGCAGCCUGCUAAGCUGCAACUGACAUUGAGGCUCGAAAGUGUGGGUAUCAAACAGGAUUAGAUACCCUGGUAGUCCACACGGUAAACGAUGAAUACUCGCUGUUUGCGAUAUACUGCAAGCGGCCAAGCGAAAGCGUUAAGUAUUCCACCUGGGGAGUACGCCGGCAACGGUGAAACUCAAAGGAAUUGACGGGGGCCCGCACAAGCGGAGGAACAUGUGGUUUAAUUCGAUGAUACGCGAGGAACCUUACCCGGGCUUAAAUUGCAGAUGAAUUACGGUGAAAGCCGUAAGCCGCAAGGCAUCUGUGAAGGUGCUGCAUGGUUGUCGUCAGCUCGUGCCGUGAGGUGUCGGCUUAAGUGCCAUAACGAGCGCAACCCUUGUUGUCAGUUACUAACAGGUUCCGCUGAGGACUCUGACAAGACUGCCAUCGUAAGAUGUGAGGAAGGUGGGGAUGACGUCAAAUCAGCACGGCCCUUACGUCCGGGGCUACACACGUGUUACAAUGGGGGGUACAGAGGGCCGCUACCACGCGAGUGGAUGCCAAUCCCCAAAACCUCUCUCAGUUCGGACUGGAGUCUGCAACCCGACUCCACGAAGCUGGAUUCGCUAGUAAUCGCGCAUCAGCCACGGCGCGGUGAAUACGUUCCCGGGCCUUGUACACACCGCCCGUCAAGCCAUGGGAGCCGGGGGUACCUGAAGUGCGUAACCGCAAGGAGCGCCCUAGGGUAAAACUGGUGACU
rnacentral:rRNA from 1 species